CCUACGGGCGGCAGCAGUGGGGAAUAUUGGACAAUGGGCGAAAGCCUGAUCCAGCCAUGCCGCGUGUGUGAAGAAGGCCUUCGGGUUGUAAAGCACUUUCAGUGGGGAAGAAAGCCUUGGGGCUAAUACCCUCGAGGAAGGACAUCACCCACAGAAGAAGCACCGGCUAACUCCGUGCCAGCAGCCGCGGUAAUACGGAGGGUGCGAGCGUUAAUCGGAAUUACUGGGCGUAAAGCGCGCGUAGGCGGUCUGAUAAGCCGGUUGUGAAAGCCCCGGGCUCAACCUGGGAACGGCAUCCGGAACUGUCAGGCUAGAGUGCAGGAGAGGAAGGUAGAAUUCCCGGUGUAGCGGAGAAAUGCGUAGAGAUCGGGAGGAAUACCAGUGGCGAAGGCGGCCUUCUGGACUGACACUGACGCUGAGGUGCGAAAGCGUGGGUAGCAAACAGGAUUAGAUACCCCGGUAGUC
rnacentral:rRNA from 1 species